rnacentral:piRNA from 1 species
UGCCAUCUGCAACCUGAUUUCAACGGCCC